GUCUGUGGCCAUGCCACCCUAAACACACCCGAUCCCAUCUGAUCUCGGAAGCUAAGCAGGGUUGGGCCUGGUUAGUACUUGGAUGAGAGACCACCUAGGAAGACCAGGUGCUGUAGGUG
rfam:Pteropus alecto contig49502, whole genome shotgun sequence.